rnacentral:rRNA from 1 species
AUUGAACGCUGGCGGCAGGCUUAACACAUGCAAGUCGGACGGUAGCACAGAGAGCUUGCUCUUGGGUGACGAGUGGCGGACGGGUGAGUAAUGUCUGGGGAUCUGCCCGAUAGAGGGGGAUAACCACUGGAAACGGUGGCUAAUACCGCAUAACGUCGCAAGACCAAAGAGGGGGACCUUCGGGCCUCUCACUAUCGGAUGAACCCAGAUGGGAUUAGCUAGUAGGCGGGGUAAUGGCCCACCUAGGCGACGAUCCCUAGCUGGUCUGAGAGGAUGACCAGCCACACGGGAACUGAGACACGGUCCAGAGUCCUACGGGAGGCAGCAGUGGGGAAUAUUGCACAAUGGGCGCAAGCCUGAUGCAGCCAUGCCGCGUGUAUGAAGAAGGCCUUCGGGUUGUAAAGUACUUUCAGCGGGGAGGAAGGCGGUGAGGUUAAUAACCUCGCCGAUUGACGUUACCCGCAGAAGAAGCACCGGCUAACUCCGUGCCAGCCGCCGCCGUAA